rnacentral:rRNA from 1 species
AGGAAGUAAAAGUCGUAACAAGGUCUCCGUUGGUGAACCAGCGGAGGGAUCAUUACGAGAGUUGAAAAACUCCUAAAACCCAUUGUGAACCUACUUAUAUCGUUGCUUCGGCGGGCAGCCCCAGGGCGGGGCUUCGGCCUUCUAUAGGUGUCCGCCGACGGCUUUUACAAACUCUUCUGUUAUCAUAGGCACUCGGAGUGACGAAGAUACCAAAUGAGUCAAAACUUUCAACAACGGAUCUCUUGGUUCUGGCAUCGAUGAAGAACGCAGCGAAAUGCGAUAAGUAAUGUGAAUUGCAGAAUUUCAGUGAAUCAUCGAAUCUUUGAACGCAUAUUGCGCCCAUUAGCAUUCUAGUGGGCAUGCCUGUCCGAGCGUCAUUUCAACCCUCAGGUUCGUACGCGGCCUGGUGUUGGGGAAUCUGCGGCUGACCGCAGGCCCYAAAAGAGAGUGGCGGUGUCCGUCGGCACUCCGGGCGCAGUGGAUAUCUUUCUCGCCCAGGAUGUCUGGCGGCCGGCCGGCCGUAAAACAGCCUAGUCGCUAUAAGGU